GGUUUGCAGCGCAGAGCUAAAGAGAAAAACAAAGUGGGGAAGGGCGCAAACAUCAGGGAUUUGGGCUCGAUUUAUUGGGCGAGAGCUCGCCCUAGCGGCCCUCGAGCAUCAUUUCCAUUUGGUAAACCACGUCUGGUGCCAUGGCUUUACAUUCAAACACCAAGCCUUGCUGCUGCUUUUAAGAAGUAUUUCACCUUCAUGUUUUCCACGGGUUUCUGUAAUCAAUGUGUGAAUUGCAACCUUUGGUUGUACAAGAGCUAAAUAACUGAGAAUUAUUUGUUAGAACGAAUCAGCAGAGCACAUUGCCUUUGUGUGUUCAUCCCCAUGAGGACAGCAUUAAGACUGGAAAGAGCCGUUUCUCAGGGGAGAAGAUAUUUUCCUGGCUGCUUGUG
rnacentral:lncRNA from 1 species